AUUGAACGCUGGCGGCAGGCCUAACACAUGCAAGUCGAGCGGAAACGAGUUAUCUGAACCUUCGGGGGACGAUAACGGCGUCGAGCGGCGGACGGGUGAGUAAUGCCUAGGAAAUUGCCCUGAUGUGGGGGAUAACCAUUGGAAACGAUGGCUAAUACCGCAUAAUGCCUACGGGCCAAAGAGGGGGACCUUCGGGCCUCUCGCGUCAGGAUAUGCCUAGGUGGGAUUAGCUAGUUGGUGAGGUAAUGGCUCACCAAGGCGACGAUCCCUAGCUGGUCUGAGAGGAUGAUCAGCCACACUGGAACUGAGACACGGUCCAGACUCCUACGGGAGGCAGCAGUGGGGAAUAUUGCACAAUGGGCGCAAGCCUGAUGCAGCCAUGCCGCGUGUGUGAAGAAGGCCUUCGGGUUGUAAAGCACUUUCAGUCGUGAGGAAGGUGGUGUUGUUAAUAGCAGCAUCAUUUGACGUUAGCGACAGAAGAAGCACCGGCUAACUCCGUGCCAGCAGCCGCGGUAAUACGGAGGGUGCGAGCGUUAAUCGGAAUUACUGGGCGUAAAGCGCAUGCAGGUGGUUUGUUAAGUCAGAUGUGAAAGCCCGGGGCUCAACCUCGGAAUAGCAUUUGAAACUGGCAGACUAGAGUACUGUAGAGGGGGGUAGAAUUUCAGGUGUAGCGGUGAAAUGCGUAGAGAUCUGAAGGAAUACCGGUGGCGAAGGCGGCCCCCUGGACAGAUACUGACACUCAGAUGCGAAAGCGUGGGGAGCAAACAGGAUUAGAUACCCUGGUAGUCCACGCCGUAAACGAUGUCUACUUGGAGGUUGUGGCCUUGAGCCGUGGCUUUCGGAGCUAACGCGUUAAGUAGACCGCCUGGGGAGUACGGUCGCAAGAUUAAAACUCAAAUGAAUUGACGGGGGCCCGCACAAGCGGUGGAGCAUGUGGUUUAAUUCGAUGCAACGCGAAGAACCUUACCUACUCUUGACAUCCAGAGAACUUUCCAGAGAUGGAUUGGUGCCUUCGGGAACUCUGAGACAGGUGCUGCAUGGCUGUC
rnacentral:rRNA from 1 species